UACGUAGGUCCCAAGCGUUAUCCGGAUUUACUGGGCGUAAAGUGUCCGUAGCCAGAUAAAUAAGUCUGUUUUCAAAUACCUGGACUCAAUCGAGGGAAGGGAAUAGAUACUGUUUAUCUAGAGAUCUUUGGAGGUUAGUGGAAUUUCCGGUGGAGCGGUGAAAUGCGUUGAUAUCGGAAAGAAUGCCGAAAGCGAAAGCAGCUAACUACAAUACAUCUGACGGUGAGGGACGACAGUUUGGGGAG
rnacentral:rRNA from 1 species